rnacentral:rRNA from 1 species
UACGGGGGGGGCUAGCGUUGUUCGGAAUUACUGGGCGUAAAGCGCACGUAGGCGGCUUUGCAAGUUAGAGGUGAAAGCCCGGGGCUCAACUCCGGAAUUGCCUUUAAAACUGCAUCGCUAGAAUUGUGGAGAGGUAAGUGGAAUUCCGAGUGUAGAGGUGAAAUUCGUAGAUAUUCGCAAGAACACCAGUGGCGAAGGCGGCUCACUGGCCCGGUACUGACGCUGAGGUGCGAAAGCGUGGGGAGCAAACAGG